rnacentral:rRNA from 1 species
UUUUGUACCUUUUGUAUCAGGGUUGAUUAAAAUUUAUUUAAUGAUUUUAAAUAUCUCGAAAAUAAGGGAGCUAAAUUUAUAUUAUUUUUUUUGUAGCAAUAAAAUUAUAAAUAUAGAUUUAGAAAUUAAAUGUUAAACGAACUUAUUAAUAUCUAGUUUUUUUAGAAAUAAAUUUAAUUUAGAUAUAAUUAUUUUAGUAAAUUAAAUUUUAUUUUAAUUUAUUAAUUUUUAUAUUAAAAAUUUAUGGGAUAAUCUAUAAAUUUAAGAUAAAAAUUUAAUUUUAAUUUUUAAUGUUAUAGAGAUAAUAUUUUUCUUUAAUUUUAAUAAUUUAAUAAUUUAAUAUUUAUAAAUUAAUAAUGAUUUAAAUUUAUAUUUUAUUUUUCUAUAAAAAUUUAUAUUUUAAUUAAUAAAAUAUAGAAAUAAUGAUUAGAUUAGUAAUAAAGUUAUAUUUUAUAAUGAUAUUUUGUAUUAUAUAAUUUAAAGGAAUUCGGCAAAUAUAUUAUUCACCUGUUUAUCAAAAACAUGUCCUGUUGAUUAUAAUUUUAGGUCGAUCUGCUCAAUGAAUUAUUUUAAAUAGCUGCAGUAUGUUGACUGUACAAAGGUAGCAUAAUAAAUUGUCUUUUAAUUGAAGAAUUGUAUGAAAGAAUUAAUGAAAUAAUAACUGUCUCUAAAUUAUUAAAUGAAUUUAAAUUUUUAGUUAAAAUUCUAAAAUUUAAUUAUGGGACGAUAAGACCCUAUAGAAUUUAAUUUAAUUUUUAAAUUUAUUUAUAAUUUUAAUAAAUAUAUUUAAGAUUAAAUUUGAUUGGGAGGAUUGGUAAAUUUAAUAAACUUUAUUUAAGAUUUAAUUUUGAUAUAAAGAUAAUUUUUUGAAUUAUAAAUUGUAAUUAAAAGAAUAAAUUACCUUAGGGAUAACAGCGUAAUAUCUUUUGAUAGAUCAUAUAGAUAAA